UCUAGGCCUAAUAAACUCUUGGAUUUCACCUAAAGAACAUGGCGGUGUUUCAUAAACUCAGGGGAACCUGUUACUUAAUUUGAUAUUCCACGUGCAACACUACCCUUUUUAGUAGUCAGCCUGUAUACUACUGUCGCCAGUAAACCUUAAUAAGAGUUUACUAAAAAUAUUUCAUCUCACGUCAAGUCAAUGUGCAGCCAAUAAAAGGGGGUAAAUGGGUUACAAUCAUAAUCAAUGAUACGAAUGCGCCAUUAAAAGGCAGCUAAAGGUGGACUUGAUAGUAAUGCCAAAAAUCAUAAACACAAAUCUGAAACAUGCACACAUCGCCCGUCGCUCCAACAC
rnacentral:rRNA from 1 species